UACAGAGGGGGCAAGCGUUGUUCGGAAUUACUGGGCGUAAAGGGCGCGUAGGCGGCCUUCUAAGUUCGAACGUGAAAUCCCCGGGCUCAACCCGGGAACUGCGUCCGAUACUGGAAGGCUUGAAUCCGGGAGAGGGAUGUGGAAUUCCAGGUGUAGCGGUGAAAUGCGUAGAUAUCUGGAGGAACACCGGUGGCGAAGGCGGCUAUCUGGGACCGACAUUGACGCUGAGGCGCGAAAGCGUGGGGAGCAAACAGG
rnacentral:rRNA from 1 species